rnacentral:lncRNA from 1 species
UCGCGGUCUACAUACAAAAAAUCACGGUGCACGAAAGUCUUUUGCACGAUCCAGCAGCCAAGAGGGCUCGCGUCAUGAUCGGACGGCAGGCAAUGGUGCGAGCAUGAUCAAGCAUGAUCGGAUGGCUCAAGAGGCUCUGUGGGGAAGAUCCAACGGUCAGAAAGGGUGUUGAGUCCUUUUGAAAGGAUGAUUUCGAUCCAGAUUAGAUUUCUAGCUCUAUAAAAGAGACCUAACAAUCUGUGAAGGAGAGCAUGUCUCAGCGCAUCUCAG